AUGAAGACACUUACUGGACCUUUGUUUCUGUUCUUGUGGUUGCAGCUGGACUGUGAGUUGGAAGAAGGAGACAGCACUGUUGUUAUCAACUGCACUUACACAGACAGUACCUCUACCUUUUUUUCUUGGUAUAAGCAAGAACCUGGAAAAGGUCUCCAGUUGCUUAUACAUAUUCUUCCAAAUAUGGAUAAAAAGCUAGACCAAAGACUCACUGUUUUAUUGAACAAGACGGCCAAACAUCUCUCCUUGCACGUUGCAGCCACCCAGCCUGGAGACUCAGCUGUCUACUUCUGUGCAGUGAGCACACAUUGCUUCCCAGGCACCUGCAGCCUGUACCCAAACCUGCAACUGGGCUGA